CUCCCUCGCUACAUCUUCCUCGCCGACUCAGCUUUCUGCCGACUGCUUUCUCGCCGACUUUCUCACCUUCUCACCGACUUUCUCCCCGACUCUUCUUCUUGUAUCUCGACGGCGUCGUGUAUCUGACCAACCCUGCUGCUCGUAUCUCGCCGACUCUGCUGCUGCUCUCUCAAAAGAAAAAAAAAUUAGGACGAGAAGUGGAUCAAUUUGAAGUUUUUGAACGAAUGCAUAAAAAGAAGCAAGGUACUGGAGAGUUUAUGGAUAACAAAUCGGCCCGAGUUAAUGAACAAUAUAGACAACGACAAAAUGUUGAUGAUGACUCUACUAAUCCUUCAUUCAAUCUCCAAUCAUGGUGUGAUGUGGUGGGUGGCCAAUAUAAGGGAAGAGUGUAUGGAUUUGGACGCAAUCAACACUUUAGAAGAUCAUAUACAAUGGAAGCUCCAACGAAAUAAACUCCAAUGAAAAAAACAAAGAACUAUCACAAGAAAUUAAAGGCAUGCGUGCUACUAGCAAGAGAAUGGAGAAAGAAAUUAUUGAAAGCAAAAACAAAUUGAAACUCAUUAUCACAUAAAAUCGGCAAAGGGAAGAAAAACUUAUCAAGGAAGGUAGACAAAGGGAAGAAAAACUUAUGGAGGAAGGUAGACAAAGAGAAGAAAAUCUCAAGGGGAUGGUUCGUAAGAUGAUUCAAGAGGUUGGAUAUACCAAUCAUUUAUAUCCAGGAGGAUCUGAUCCCCGUGAGCGUCUUAAUAAACGAAAUAAAGAUUAGAUUUAGUUAGAUAAUAUGAAUAUUUGGAUGAUGUGAUA